GCACUGCCCUUGAACCCUCUUUAGAGAGGGACUGGCCUGCCAACUUGGAAGGGCAGGGGCAGCUGUCUGAGCGGUGGGGAGGCCGGGUUCCAGAGGCUUGGAGGGAUCCCGUUCCUCAGGCCUGGUUCUCUGUCCACUUGUGCCCUGAGGGUCCUGUGAGGAAAGUUUUCAUCCUGUAAGAACCUUCAAAUGGAGAACCUAUCUUGUCUGGUGCCAUCCUGGGGGCGGCUGGCUGAGCUGGCAGAGAGGCUGAUGACAUCGUGAACUGGCUGAAGAAGCGCACGGGCCCGGCUGCCACCACCCUGCCUGACGGCGCAGCUGCAGAGUCCUUGGUGGAGUCCAGCGAGGUGGCUGUCAUCGGCUUCUUCAAGGACGUGGAGUCGGACUCUGCCAAGCAGUUUUUGCAGGCAGCAGAGGCCAUCGAUGACAUACCAUUUGGGAUCACUUCCAACAGUGACGUGUUCUCCAAAUACCAGCUCGACAAAGAUGGGGUUGUCCUCUUUAAGAAGUUUGAUGAAGGCCGGAACAACUUUGAAGGGGAGGUCACCAAGGAGAACCUGCUGGACUUUAUCAAACACAACCAGCUGCCCCUUGUCAUCGAGUUCACCGAGCAGACAGCCCCGAAGAUUUUUGGAGGUGAAAUCAAGACUCAUAUCCUGCUGUUCUUGCCCAAGAGUGUGUCUGACUAUGACAGCAAACUGAGCAACUUCAAAACAGCAGCCGAGAGCUUCAAGGGCAAGAUCCUGUUCAUCUUCAUCGACAGCGACCACACCGACAACCAGCGCAUCCUUGAGUUCUUUGGCCUGAAGAAGGAAGAGUGCCCGGCCGUGCGCCUCAUCACCCUGGAGGAGGAGAUGACC
rnacentral:sRNA from 1 species